rnacentral:rRNA from 1 species
UACGUAGGUGGCAAGCGUUGUCCGGAUUUAUUGGGUUUAAAGGGUGCGUAGGCGGCUUUGUAAGUCAGUGGUGAAAUAUGGCAGCUCAACUGUCAGGGUGCCAUUGAUACUGCAGAGCUUGAGUACAGAUGAGGUAGGCGGAAUUGACGGUGUAGCGGUGAAAUGCUUAGAUAUCGUCAAGAACACCGAUAGCGAAGGCAGCUUACUGGGCUGUAACUGACGCUGAGGCACGAAGGCGUGGGGAGCGAACGGG